GUUAGGAAUAUUAGACAAUGGGCGCAAGCCUGAUCCAGCCAUGCCGCGUGAGUGAUGAAGGCCUUCGGGUUGUAAAGCUCUUUAGCCGAUGAUUAUAAUGACUGUAGUCGGAAAAUAAGCCCCGGCUAACUUCGUGCCAGCAGCCGCGGUAAUACGAAGGGGGCGAGCGUUAUUCGGAAUCACUGGGCGUAAGGCGUGCGUAGGCGGCUUUGCAAGUUGGGAGUGAAAGCCCAGGGCUCAACCCUGGAAUUGCUCUCAAAACUGCAAGGCUCGAAUUCGGGAGAGGAUAGCGGAAUUGUCAGUGUAGCAGUGAAAUGCGUAGAUAUUGACAGGAACACCAGUGGCGUAAGCGGCUAUCUGGACCGAUAUUGACGCUGAGGCACGAAAGCGUGGGGAUCAAACAGGAUUAGAAACCCGGGUAGUCC
rnacentral:rRNA from 1 species